UUCAACGAUCUUUUCAUGUCUACAGUAUCCCGAGUUACUUUGGCACCCUUCUUCAAUUGCCUCUUGACAAUUGCCUAAUACUUUUCGAUUGGGCGGAAUUGGAGGCAAUUGGGAGGAUUGAGUUUCGAAAACGAAAGCGUUACGCCGGAGAACUCAGUUAUAAUUGAACAGCGAUUGGAGCAUGUUGUCGCUAUUGUGGCGAAGCUAACUUCGUUCAUCAUGAAAGCGCUGAUGAACGGCGCCACCAAGAGCCUGUUUGUGCACUUUAGACCGGAAGGGAAUCCAUCGGGAAGAGAGUGAUACCACUGAAAAGGAGUCCAAGAAAGUGACAGCAUCGAAUAUUGGUUCCGCUUGUAUUUAAUAUCAGAGGAGUUCGCAACAAACUAAAUUUGAGAAUGUCGACUUAUAUACAUUCAGCGAGAUCUGUAUUAGAUGGGCUGACCAAACGUACCGUUUUGAACGGGACAGUGCCGUUUUUUCGACCAUUUUGGAUUGUACCGUCUUCUUAUCAAUUGGUACCGUAUUUUAAGUUUAAAAAAAUGUAAUAAUGCCCUGUUGUACUACGAUUUAUUUGGAAACUCAUGACCUUUCGAAGAUUUAUUCGCCUCGUCGAAUGAGAUGAUGUGUCUGCCUCAAAAUUUGCGCUUAAUUUUGUUGAUUUUUUUAGAAUUCCUCAACAUAAAAGGGAAGAAAUAUUUUUGUCUAGUGAGGUGCAAAGUGUUCUUCAAAAAUAUAGAGGGUAGUAUUCUCAAAACACCUCAGUUGACGCAGAACCACGGAAUUAUUUUAUUCAAUUCGUUUGUUCACCAAUUCGGCUAGAAAAAGGGGUAAAAAGACCGAUAACCGUACCGUCUUGAGUAUCUUUUUUCAAUCACUAUGAUAGCUUGGUCGGAUGAAUAACAGGGUUUCGCCAUACCCGCCGUUUUUUUAAAAACAAUCAGUGAUUGCACCUGAAAAUGUGGAACGAGUAAGAGUUUCAAUUGAACACCGCUGCGCAAAUAUGUUGUGACUAUGCUUUGAGUUCCAUCUCUACAAACUUUCAUUAACUCAAGAAUUGAAUGGACGUGAUCAUGCCAGUCGCAAAAAGCUUUGAGAAGAAAUGCUUCAGACAAUCCAAGGGAGUCCAAAGUACUAUAUUUGCACUUUCCAAAGGUUACAGUAUGCAGACUAUGAACCGUUUAAGCAUCUGGAAUCGAUACAGUCUGUGGAACGAUUACGCUUCUGAAUUUUGUGUCGAACAAAACCGUUGUGUGUAACAUCAGCAUUGCGUAAGACAGCUGACUGCUCGAUAGCUAGAAUUAGAGUAUUAGAAAUAAAUUGUGUUGAAUCAAGGAGGCUUUAAACUUUGGAAAUUCAUUAGCCUCUCAUAGAUUCUUAGAAAUCGCGAAUGGCUCAUUUAUACCCAAUAUGGUAAAACAGGAAAUCGUUUAUUUGCAAUAUCUCCUCUCCCCACAGUGUCCGUAUGAACGAACGAUAGAUUCACAUUUCUAGCGAGCGAUUUACGCACAUCUCAUUCGCAGUGGUAUAUCAAAAUUAUACCUCACGGCUACAUCCAUUCUUCGGAAUAGAAAGUACAGGUAAAUAAGGACGGAAAUGCACAGAACAAAUGUAUGGUAGAAAGAGUGUGCUUCCAAUUUUUGUUAUUUUAAACCAUUAGAGAACUUCCAAUUCGAUUGGUUCGCAGCAGAAAUAAUUAUUUACUAUGAAACUAUUCCAUAAAAACAUGACGCGUUUUCUGAUUUGGUGCCCUAACUAAAACUAAUUAAUUUAGGUGAAAUAUAGGAGGUAAAAUAUUUUUGUAUGAAAGUAUGAAAUUUUUUUACGAUUCUGCUUUGGAGUACAUUGAAAAAUGGGAGGCUAGUCUAGGAGAAACAUAACAGUUCCACACUUGUCCUACGAUUUCAUCCCCAAUAGCACGGACCAAACACGAGUGCAUCGAGUCGUUCCACUACAGUGAGUGUCAGGUUCGAUGUUGUAGGUUUUGGUAUUGGCUAAUCACCACGAUGGAUGAACAUGGAAUGAAAACACUUUCAAAUUCAAAACAAUGAAUGAAAAUUAACUCCUCUGUUUCGAAUUACUGUUCAAUGUGAAUGAAGAAUAUCUGAUCGAGAUAGAGAUUAGUUUGCUUCGUAAAAAAUUAUGUCGUAUCCAGAUGUCGACGUCGUACAGUCGUCAGCGUGGAUUGAUAAAAUGGAAACGGUUGUGCUAUGCGACAAGUUAAUGAUGUCAUGGUUCACUUUGAAGAGGUAUCAUCAACAAAAAUGUCGAGUUAGUUAAUUCAACGAAUUCUAAAUUUGCAUUCUAUUUUUCUAGAAGACAAAAAAAUUCGGAAGAAACAAACUUUUGCGUCAAAUGAAUCAAAGUUAAUGAAACGGCUACGAAAAGUAGAGGCAAUAUCCCUCGUGGUGAAACGAAAAAAAUGGAAGACGCGCAGAAAGAAGCUAAAAGAUUGCAAGAAAAAAUCGUUUUUUCCAAAAUCGUAAUAGUUUAGUCAAAUUGAUUGGAUCGAAAUAAAAAUUACUCGUUUCAUUACUAGUGUUUGAUGAUCCUUCAAGAUAUUUAAAAAAAAAAAUCAACCAUGUAUUCAUUUUUUUUUGCUUCUUCACUUCUUUAUUUCUCUCUUUCAUUACUUCUUAUGGCGGGUUUACACUAAGGCCGAUUACACAUUAUCCGGUUUCUGCCGGACCGGUUUGAAACCCAAAUGGCAAAUUUUGAUCGGACCAACCUUUUUACGACGCCGUGAUGCAGCCGUCUACAGCGACUGCAAUGUCCGGUGACCGGACAAGCAUUAUACGCGAUGACCGUAGAAUAGUGUCGACGUCUGGUGGAGACAUCGGUUUGGGAAAGCAAAUCAUUCUCUAUAAGAUUAUCACACCUCAAGACAGUUUUAAGUUGUUUAAAUUUUUAAUGAAAACUUCUACUUCAUAUUAUUUGAUUGCUCAGAACCUGUGGUAUUGAUUCUUCCUUAACCAUUUUUGUAUAGUUUCCUUGAUAUUUUAACUAAAACUCAUCAUUGUAAUAUACAAUCAUUAUCAGACACAAUUAUUGUUCAGGAGGUUUCCCAACUUGCAAAAGAACGUAUUACUUUAUUACAUAAAGAACACAUUUCAUGAGAAGAAGUUAAUUUCCAUUCAUAGUUUUUAUUUUAAGAUAUGUGUUUAAUGCACCUGAAAAUUCAUUAUCACUAUCAUUUCCCAAAAGCGGAGCACGAAGCUCCAUGCCAUGAAAGCGAAUUGACAGUUGUUUGUCAUGUCUGUUAGUAUUAGUACAAUUCAGGCAAUUUUUCGUCUAAUGUAAUAGUAUGUGUGUACUAUUGACGUUUGUUUGUUGAUUUUGAAAACAGUUGAUAAUUUGCAAGCGAUAUGGAUGCUGAAAUUUUUAUUUCACUUCUUCAACAACUACCAGUGUUGUGGAACUAAUUCUGUGAUGCAAGUUUCUGCUCAAAGAGAAGCAAUGGUCACAGGUGCACGAUGGCAUCAUUUAGCAUAUUGCCACGGACUGUGUUAUUAACGGCAACAUCCCUUAUCUGAAAUAAUUACUGAACGAGUUCGGAUGUCAAACAAAUCUUCAAUCGGUUCAUGGAGGGGCGGAUUUCGAGCGGCUUUAUCGAGCUGAAUGAGAAGUUUGACCUGACCGGCGACGCGAUCGACGACGAGACCAAGGCACUCCAGCCAAAACUGUCAGAUAUGUGCUCUGUGGUCUAAAUGUUCCAAUGCCGACGCCAAAGCAUCGGUUCUGUCAGAACGAAAUUCCAGCUUAUCUGAUUCGGUCAUUCUUUGCCCCGGAUCCGCGUAUUGAUAGCUGUGAUGCGAAUUGGGCUCGAGAAGCUGCCCAUGCCCCAGGAUUACGUGCUCGAGGAAUUGCGGCAUAUGUUGAGCUCGUUCUUCGACGAGGAUCAGCGGAAGCAGCAAUGGAAUAGUGUUUGAACGAAUUAUGUUAUUUUAUUCGUAAUUUGUUUACUGUAUUAAUGAAAUAAAAAAAAACUCUAGAAUGAAUGGAUGUGUAUACAUUCUCUUGUAGGUAAAUUCCAAAAUAAUCACAGGAAGUGAACACAUUAUACAUAUAAAUAAAUAGUGCCUCUGGCUUGUAACGGAAUGUUAUUAUUAUUGGUUCAUCAAAUUGCACUUUUAUCUAACCGUGUUUCUGAGACUGUUGAAAAAUUAUGUGGCAACAGAGCGUGUGAAAUAAAUCAUACUAUUCGUGUAUGCUUGGAAACUAAAUAAUUAUGCGUAUGAAUGAAUAAACCGCAGACUAAAGUUAGUUUUUUAAACGUAUUCUGAAGUGGGGCGGAAGUAUUCACGAUAGGUACGGUAAGAACGCCGUUAUGAUGCAGGAUGUGUGUAAUGUCCGUGAGGCCUGGUCUCACUUUGAUCAUGCUCAUGGUGUGCUACACUCCAACAUUCGGCCUUAUGUGAUUUCCAAGGAACAUACAUAUGAGAACGCUCGUGGUUGCCGCAGCAGCUGUGGGUUUAAGGUUUUCCGUCUGCACUCAGCUGCAUGUAACCGGAAUAUUUGAAGCAAUGUUUACCUGUCAAAUCCACAUAUAAAUAAAUGCAUAUAUGUGUUUGUGAGAGAUGUACGGUUUUGUGUAGCGCGAGGUCUCUUUCACAUUGUUGUCCGGUUUUCCGUCCAAACCCAGCGGCGCUUUUUGAAACCGGUCCGGCAGAAACCGGAUAAUGUGUAAUCGCCCUAAGGAGAUCUAUAGCUAUAGAUGGAUUUAUUCACCUGAAAAUAGGUGUAAACGGGUGAGAAUAAAUAUGAUACACUUAUUCGAGGUAUAUAUAAUAUGAAUAAAUUCAGCAUAUGUAAACGCUUGUGAAUUUCUCACUGGUGAGAAAUCACUAAAGUUGGAUGCAGUUCUACUUCAGGUGAAUAAAUUCACCGAAAAUAUGAAUAUAUUCAUUAUAGAAGUUCACGCUAGUGUAAACGAUUGAUGCGAUUUCUAUAAAUCUCAUCAUAUUUCUUCACAUGAAUAUAUCCCUAGUCUAAACCCACCUUAGUCGUCAUUUAACUCAAUUAAAAUCAUAAAAAUUCCCUUAUCGAAAGAUAUCGACAGAUGUUUUAUUUUUAUUGCAUGUUUUGAGAAUUAGUACAAAAUUUGAUUACUAGGUUACACUUGGAAUUUUUCUGAAAAAAUAAUGGAAACUCAGUUAAUAUCGACACCUCGAAUAAACGAA